UACGAAGGGGGCGAGCGUUGUUCGGAAUUAUUGGGCGUAAAGAGCUCGUAGGCGGUUUGUCGCGUCUGCUGUGAAAACGCGAGGCUCAACCUCGCGCCUGCAGUGGGUACGGGCAGACUAGAGUUCGGUAGGGGAGACUGGAAUUCCUGGUGUAGCGGUGAAAUGCGCAGAUAUCAGGAGGAACACCUAUUGCGAAGGCAGCUCGCUGGGACGUAACUGACGCUGAGACGCGAAAGCGUGGGGAGCAAACAGG
rnacentral:rRNA from 1 species